rnacentral:rRNA from 1 species
UACGUAGGGUGCAAGCGUUAAUCGGAAUUACUGGGCGUAAAGCGUGCGCAGGCGGUUAUAUAAGACAGAUGUGAAAUCCCCGGGCUCAACCUGGGAACUGCAUUUGUGGCUGUAUAGCUAGAGUACGGUAGAGGGGGAUGGAAUUCCGCGUGUAGCAGUGAAAUGCGUAGAUAUGCGGAGGAACACCGAUGGCGAAGGCAAUCCCCUGGACCUGUACUGACGCUCAUGCACGAAAGCGUGGGGAGCAAACAGG